GAUGAACGCUGGCGGCGUGCCUAAUACAUGCAAGUCGAGCGAACAGAUGAGGAGCUUGCUCCUCUGACGUUAGCUGCGGACGGGUGAGUAACACGUGGAUAACCUACCUAUAAGACUGGGAUAACUUCGUGAAACCGGAGCUAAUACCGGAUAAUAUAUUGAACCGCAUGGUUCAAUAGUGAAAGACGGUUUUGCUGUCACUUAUAGAUGGAUCCGCGCCGCAUUAGCUAGUUGGUAAGGUAACGGCUUACCAAGGCAACGAUACGUAGCCGACCUGAGAGGGUGAUAGGCCACACUGGAACUGAGACACGGUCCAGACUACUACGGGAGGAAGCAGUAGGGAAUCUUCCGCAAUGGGCGAAAGAUUGACGGAGCAACGCCGAGUGAGUGAUGAAGGUCUUCGGAUCGUAAAACUCUGUUAUUAGGGAAGAACAAAUGUGUAAGUAACUAUGCACGUCUUGACGGUACCUAAUCAGAAAGCCACGGCUAACUACGUG
rnacentral:rRNA from 1 species